AUUGAACGCUGGCGGCAUGCUUUACACAUGCAAGUCGGACGAGUGGCGAACGGGUGAGUAACGCAUCGGAACGUACCGAGUAAUGGGGGAUAACUGCUGGAAAGGACAGCUAAUACCGCAUACUAUACGAGCGGCCGAGGUCGGAUUAGCUGGUUGGCGGGGUAACGGCCCACCAAGGCGACGAUCAGUAGCGGGUCUGAGAGGAUGAUCCGCCACACUGGAACUGAGACACGGCCCAGACUCCUACGGGAGGCAGCAGUGGGGAAUUUUGGACAAUGGGCGCAAGCCUGAUCCAGCCAGGCCGCGUGUCUGAGGAAGGCCUUCGGGUUGUAAAGGACUUUUAUCAGGGAAGCGGUACCUGAAGAGAAAGCCCCGGCUAACUACGUGCCAGCAGCCGCGGUAAUAC
rnacentral:rRNA from 1 species